rnacentral:rRNA from 1 species
CCUACGGGUGGCAGCAGUGGGGAAUCUUGCGCAAUGGGCGAAAGCCUGACGCAGCGACGCCGCGUGAGUGAUGAAGGCCUUCGGGUUGUAAAGCUCUGUGGGGAGAGACGAAUAAGUGCAGCCUAAUACGCUGCAUGAUGACGGUAUCUCCUUAGCAAGCACCGGCUAACUCUGUGCCAGCAGCCGCGGUAAGACAGAGGGUGCAAACGUUGUUCGGAAUUACUGGGCGUAAAGCGUGUGUAGGCGGUCCUGUAAGUCGGAUGUGAAAGCCCUGGGCUCAACCCAGGAAGUGCAUUCGAUACUGCAGGGCUAGAGUAUCGGAGAGGUUGGUGGAAUUCUCGGUGUAGAGGUGAAAUUCGUAGAUAUCGAGAGGAACACCGGUGGCGAAGGCGGCCAACUGGACGAAUACUGACGCUGAGACACGAAAGCGUGGGGAGCAAACAGGAUUAGAUACCCUGGUAGUC